rnacentral:rRNA from 1 species
UACGUAGGGGGCAAGCGUUGUCCGGAAUCAUUGGGCGUAAAGAGCGUGUAGGCGGCCCGAUAAGUCCGCUGUGAAAGUCCAGGGCUCAACCCUGGAAUGCCGGUGGAUACUGUCGGGCUCGAAUCCGGAAGAGGUGAGUGGAAUCCCUGGUGUAGCGGUGAAAUGCGCAGAUAUCAGGAGGAACACCAAUGGCGAAGGCAGCUCACUGGGACGGUAUUGACGCUGAGACGCGAAAGCGUGGGGAGCAAACAGG